rnacentral:tRNA from 1 species
GGGGCCGUAGCUCAGUUGGGAGAGCGCAGCGUUCGCAAUGCUGAGGUCGUGGGUUCGAAUCCCAUCGGCUCCAC